UACGUAGGGUGCGAGCGUUAAUCGGAAUUACUAGGCGUAAAGCGUGCGCAGGCGGUCUGUUAAGACCGAUGUGAAAUCCCCGGGCUUAACCUGGGAACUGCAUUUGUGACUGGCAGGCUAGAGUAUGGCAGAGGGGGGUAGAAUUCCACGUGUAGCAGUGAAAUGCGUAGAGAUGUGGAGGAAUACCGAUGGCGAAGGCAGCCCCCUGGGCCAAUACUGACGCUCAUGCACGAAAGCGUGGGGAGCAAACAGG
rnacentral:rRNA from 1 species